CCUGGAGCCACACCCAACUGAGAUCAGCAGAGUGGCCCUACUUGAUCCAUAGACACACCGAUGGAAUCUCACUCUGUCACCCAGGCUGGAGUGCAGUGGCACUAUCUUGGCUCACUGCAGCUUCCGCUUCCCGGGUUCAAGCAAUUCUCCUGCCUCAACCUCCCAAGUAGCUGGGGUUACAGAUGAGCUACUUAACAGCCACAGCCCUCCGACUUUGGAAUAGCCCUGCCUGCCAUCAUCAUCUGUCCUGAGAGGAAGGCUUGCCUUUGAAAUUCCUUUAUUGUAGCAGACAUUUGCUGCUAGGUCUCUUUUGUUAGUGCACAUGCCUGCUCUUCAGCCUGCCUGUGUUCCUGCACCCAUAUUUCUGUGUGUCUGCCCCUCUCCCCACCUUGCCUAGCCUUCUAUUCUAGUGUUUGCACUUUUCCAGGAUCCUGGAAUUUGUUCUGUUGCUUUAACUUGCUUUCCUGUGGCUGAGCUCCACUGGCUCCUGACUGCCUGCUUGGUUUGUCUGCCAGCUUGCCUUACCCUUGGGCUUCAAUCUUCACAAUCCUCAUAAUCUUGCUCUGAGCAUAGGGUACCAUGCAGCCCAAUUCUACGUGGUUCAUCUGCUCCUGACUUAACUGAAUCUACCUCUUACUUGAGCCCCUUAUAUUAAAGAGGGUCGAUGGCUUUUAUAAUGAAAGUGACUGCAAUACAAAUACAUUUUAAUGGUGUCACAACCUUUAAACAUUAGCAGUCCAGGUUGUUCAAGGACCACCUUAAGUUCUGAACUUAGUGUGUAGAAAAGUUUCCACAAGUAAAAAAUAUUUUCAUGCUUCUGAAUAUUUUAUGGGUUUUGUCCUACAUAGGAAUACUUGCUAUCUUUAUUGAAAGGGGUAUGUGGAAUCAAAUAUCUGAAUAAAUUAUGUCAUAUAUAUACAGC
rnacentral:lncRNA from 10 species